AACGUAGGAGACAAGCGUUAUCCGGAGUUACUGGGCGUAAAGGGCGUGUAGGUGGUUUCGUAAGUCUGGCGUGAAAUAUCUCGGCUUAACCGAGGCAGGUCGUCGGAUACUGCGGAACUGGAGGACGGUAGAGGCGUGUGGAAUUCCGGGUGUAGUGGUGAAAUGCGUAGAGAUCCGGAGGAACACCAGUGGCGAAGGCGACACGCUGGGCCGUACCUGACACUGAUGCGCGACAGCAUGGGGAGCAAACAGG
rnacentral:rRNA from 1 species